AAUUCGUGACAGGGGAGCCUUGCACUAAAGGUGCGGGCUGAGAGGCCGGUUUUCGGCGACCCUUCGAACCUUUAGCAGUGGUAAUGCCUGCAAGGGAGGCACAAGACAUAGAAU
rnacentral:ncRNA from 24 species